rnacentral:rRNA from 1 species
GAUGAACGCUGGCGGCGUGCCUAAUACAUGCAAGUCGAGCGAACGGACGAGAAGCUUGCUUCUCUGAUGUUAGCGGCGGACGGGUGAGUAACACGUGGAUAACCUACCUAUAAGACUGGGAUAACUUCGGGAAACCGGAGCUAAUACCGGAUGAUAUUUUGAACCGCAUGGUUCAAAAGUGAAAGACGGUCUUGCUGUCACUUAUAGAUGGAUCCGCGCUGCAUUAGCUAGUUGGUAAGGUAACGGCUUACCAAGGCAACGAUGCAUAGCCGACCUGAGAGGGUGAUCGGCCACACUGGAACUGAGACACGGUCCAGACUCCUACGGGGGGCAGCAGUAGGGAAUCUUCCGCAAUGGGCGGAAGCCUGACGGAGCAACGCCGCGCGAGUGAUGAAGGUCUUCGGAUCGUAAAACUCUGUUAUUAGGGAAGAACAUAUGUGUAAGUAACUGUGCACAUCUUGACGGUACCUAAUCAGAAAGCCACGGCUAACUACGUG